GAAGUACCUUGGCCCAAAACACUUUUCUGGCUAUUGAACUAGGCUCCUCCUUUUCAACCCAAGCCACCAUGAAGAAGGCUUGGCGUGGGGCUGCAGGGUACCUGUUGGUGUGCGAGUUGUUGUGCAUGAACCAGCUCCGGUUAUUGUCCACAUACAUUGCCCAAGCUUUGUCGUCCUUCCCUAACAUCAUAUCCUUCAUCACAUCGAUGCGAGCCACGCCAAAUGCUGGAUCAGGGUGGUUGUCAUAGCGAUCUAUGGUCAGCUCCCAGUAGUGGACGCCUUUGGAGAAGCCGGUUUUCCCCAGCACCACCCGGUCAUCGUAGCUACUGCACGUCACUGUCAAGUUGUCAUUGGAGAAGAUGAUGUCGGAGUGGGCCGAGCCGGGGUCAAAAGCAAACCAAGCCACUGGGAACAACAGAAGGGAGGAAGGAAGUAUUUGGGGCCAGAGUCACCGUGAGUGAGCAGAUGGGGCGUGUCCUGGGAGUUGAAACUCUGCACCAGGAACAGACAGAGGACACAAGACCCAUUCAGCAGAGGUUACAUGGCUCAGACUGCACUUCCAAACCAGCUGAUCCGGGACUGAAGUACCAUCAAGUCCCUUCAUCUGGUGACUGGCAGGAUAGUGUGCCAGAGACAUAAAGGGUUUGCUGGGAUGAGCCUAAGGCAAACGGUCCGCAUAUAAAGGAGAGUGGAAUCCAGUGCACCCACUAAAAGACGCCUCACAGCGAUUAACAGCGGCAUGACCUGAGUGUUAUAAACAUGAAGGCACAGUUUUGGAACUGAGCAGCCAUUGGGCCAUAAUCUAUGGAGGAGAAGUGUGUUUUCAGAGCACAGCAAACAAGAGCUGCCACAGAGGGCUGCAGGAGCCUCAGAAGGCUGAGCUCUGCUGCAGUGCAAGCCAGCGGUGGAAUGUUCUCUGCUCCUCGGGAAGAUUUAAAAACAGACAAGGAGGACCAUGGAGAAGAAGGCUGUUUGCUCAAACGACCAAGCAGAUCAUGAACACUGGCAACCCUCCCGAAUUCCUCUGUGGACCAAGCUGGAAUGUGGUGAUGGAGAAAGGAAGCCGACCCCUCACCCCUACACAGACCAUAAACCUUAAGGAGGGUUUUAUGAAUACUCAAGGGUGGUAAGAGGCUCACACGCAUUCACCUAUGGGAUUUUUCAGAGCCACCUUCUUCUUCUCUCUGUUUCAUAGACAAAGAAGCUGAAGCCCAGUGAGGUUUCAUGGCUAACAAGAGGCGGGACCGGAGUCUGAAGCCUAGCAGGAUGGUUCUGAGCCUGUGGGCUUGGCACACAUCAGCUGCUCCUGCAGCUGGGGCUCAGGGAUUUUGAACUAGAGCAAAGUCUUCACACCUCAUUCAAGUUGUUUCUUUUUGGAUGGCAAAGGUCCCAAGCAUUACUGUAGUCACUGCUGCUCCCACUCAGAGCUCCGGUGUCAGAAGCGCCAUCUUACAGCCCCCCCUUCUCUGAAGGUUUACCUGUCGACCAUCCAUUCCCUUCUACAGUGGCUGAACAAUAAAAGCAGCAUUUAAGCUUUAGAGCAGAGGUUCUCAACCUGUGGGUCGUGACCCCUUUGGAUGUUACAUCAAAUAUUCUGCAUUGCAAUUCAUAACAGUUGCAAAAUAACAGGCAUGAAGUAGUAACAAAAUAAUUUUAUAGUUGGAGGUCAGCACAACAUGAGGGUCACAGCAUUGGGAAGGUUGAGAACCACUGGUCUAGAGGAAAUACAGGGCAUUUCUAGAAAGUUAUCACUGUCCACUGGAAAGGCUGGCAAUCAUACAUGUUCUGAGGACAUACACAUCAGCCCCCUCUGCAUGUGAACAGAUUGCCUGUACAUGUGUAGGUUCUCUCGCAGCUCAUUCCCUGCUUGAGUCAGCUCAGAUCGCCCUGUCCUUGCCUGUGACCUUGGAUAUAUCAAGAGAUGUUGCAUUAAGGAGGAGUUAAUGAAGAUUAAUAUGUCCCCAGGGGAGGAGAGCCACUUAAAGGAAUGCACAGUUACUCGGUCUAUGUGCUGAGAAGGCUGAUAGUCUUCGAAGAAAGUAGAUGCUCAAAACCUAUUCUCAGCCAUACGGCAGAACCCUGGGCAGACUGCAAAAAGACUCCCAAUACUCUAUUCCCAUGAACCCAGGAAGGAGCUGACAUUAUCAACUGAGAUAUCAGAAAAAUAUUCCUAAAAUGAUCCCUAAUAAAAG
rnacentral:lncRNA from 1 species